CCGUGCUAGACGGGGAGCUAGCGGUGCCCUGCACCCGCAAUCCGCUAUAGCGGGGUCGAAUUCCCUCCUGAGGGCGUGUCCGGUGUCAGGACUGCUUCGUUAAGUAGCGUUGAAGGCUGGGUCCUGCGCAGCGGAAGCCCGUGAACCCCGUCAGGUCCGGAAGGAAGCAGCGGUAAGCGGUCACUUCCGGGUGCCGCAGGGGUGCCUGGCCGGAGCCGGCUGGCGAGGUAAGCUGGUGUCGGCAGUUCGAGGGAGGGUGCACGG
rnacentral:SRP_RNA from 1 species